rnacentral:misc_RNA from 1 species
CCAAUAGCGUAUAUUAAAGUUGUUGCGGUUAAAAAGCUCGUAGUUGAAUUUCGGGAUCAAUAUGUUGGUCGUGCCUUGGUACGUACUAGCUUAUUGAUUUCUCCUUUCUGACGAACCAUGAUGUCAUUAAUUUGGUGUCAUGGGGAAUCAGGACUGUUACUUUGAAAAAAUUAGAGUGUUUAAAGCAGGCUCGCGCUUGAAUACAUUAGCAUGGAAUAAUGAAAUAGGACAUUUGAUUCUAUUUUGUUGGUUUCUAGGAUCGAUGUAAUGAUUAAUAGGGAUAGUUGGGGGCAUUAGUAUUCAAUUGUCAGUGGUGAAAUUCUUGGAUUUAUUGAAGACUAACUACUGCGAAAGCAUUUGCCAAGGAUGUUUUCAUUAAUCAAGAACGAAAGUUAGGGGAUCGAAGACGAUCAGAUACCGUCGUAGUCUUAACCAUAAACUAUGCCGACUAGGGAUCGGAUGAUGUUAAUUUUUUAAUGACUCAUUCGGCGCCUUACG